GAUGAACGCUGGCGGCGUGCUUAACACAUGCAAGUCGAACGAAGCGCUUAAACGGAUUUCUUCGGAUUGAAGCAACUGUGACUGAGCGGCGACGGGUGAGUACGCGUGGGUAACCUGCCUCAUACAGGGGGAUAACAGUUGGAAACGGCUGCUAAUACCGCAUAAGCGCACAGUACCGCAUGGUACCGUGUGAAAAACUCCGGUGGUAUGAGAUGGACCCGCGUCUGAUUAGCUAGUUGGUGGGGUAACGGCCUACCAAGGCGACGAUCAGUAGCCGACCUGAGAGGUUGAACGGCCACAUUGGGACUGAGACACGGCCCAG
rnacentral:rRNA from 1 species